GGGGGUGUGGCGGAAUGGUAGACGCGCCUGACUCAAAAUCAGGUUUCGCAAGAAGUGUCGGUUCGAGUCCGACCACCCCUA
rnacentral:tRNA from 2 species